rnacentral:rRNA from 1 species
GAUGAACGCUAGCGGCAGGCUUAACACAUGCAAGUCGAGGGGCAGCAUAAUGGAUAGCAAUAUCUAUGGUGGCGACCGGCGCACGGGUGCGUAACGCGUAUGCAACCUACCUUUAACAGGGGGAUAACACUGAGAAAUUGGUACUAAUACCCCAUAAUAUCAUAGAAGGCAUCUUUUAUGGUUGAAAAUUCCGAUGGUUAGAGAUGGGCAUGCGUUGUAUUAGCUAGUUGGUGGGGUAACGGCUCACCAAGGCGACGAUACAUAGGGGACUGAGAGGUUAACCCCCACACUGGUACUGAGACACGGACCAGACUCCUACGGGAGGCAGCAGUGAGGAAUAAUUGGUCAAUGGACGCAAGUCUGAACCAGCC